UAAUUAUUUACUGCAGAGGGGGUUCCGUGGACCAGCCUAUUAGAGGGGCACGGUAAACUCCAUUAUAUUAUUACCUCGAACGGAGAGACGCGUAGGGUAUCUCCUGGGGUAAAGCUUAGGGUUCACUUCACGCCAAACCACCACGUGAAGGGGAACUCAGCCAACGCCAAGGAACGACUGUAUUUUUCUCAAACUAAAAAUAUAUUUUAAGUGUAUACAAAAUUUUAACAGCCUUGGCGGAUUCGGUUGGAUGCCCUGCGCAAGGUAUCACCGAGUAUGAGUUUUGGCACGAGCCCAAGUUUUAAGAAAUUCAUAAGCCAAAUUGAUUACUCGAUUUAUAUGGAUUGAUUUUAUUUGGUUGAAAUGAACUGAAAGGUAAUGAAAUUACAGUAUGAUGACUUAUUUUAAUUGUCUCCAUUUACUCGACUUUAGAUAGUUUAGAUGGUAUUUGUUUACUCACUGGGAUUUUAUAAUCUCACCACCCUCAUUUCCUCACAUUUCAGGCUCAGGGAAUUCC
rnacentral:lncRNA from 1 species